CCAGACUCCUACGGGAGGCAGCAGUGAGGAAUAUUGGUCAAUGGCCGAGAGGCUGAACCAGCCAAGUCGCGUGAGGGAUGACGGCCCUACGGGUUGUAAACCUCUUUUGCCGGGGAGCAACGGGGUCCUUGCGAGGGCCCGAUGAGAGUACCCGGAGAAAAAGCAUCGGCUAACUCCGUGCCAGCAGCCGCGGUAAUACGGAGGAUGCGAGCGUUAUCCGGAUUUAUUGGGUUUAAAGGGUGCGUAGGCGGAAUAUCAAGUCAGCGGUAAAAAUUCGGGGCUCAACCCCGUCGUGCCGUUGAAACUGAUGUUCUUGAGUGGGCGAGAAGUAUGCGGAAUGCGUGGUGUAGCGGUGAAAUGCAUAGAUAUCACGCAGAACUCCGAUUGCGAAGGCAGCAUACCGGCGCCCAACUGACGCUGAAGCACGAAAGCGUGGGUAUCGAACAGGAUUAGAUACCCUGGUA
rnacentral:rRNA from 1 species